AAAUUUCGAAAAAAAAGGGGUAUAAGAAAAAAAAAAAAAGGGAUCUGAUUGUUAAAGAUUGUGAUUCAAAAAAAAAAAAAAGUUCUAUUUUUUUCCUUGCCACACUCUUAAAAUUCUCCUGGUUUCCUUUGUUUUAGAGUCUUUUUUUUUGUGUGCUGUUUUUUUAAGUUUUUUGUGUGUUGAUUAUCAUCUGAAAUUGAUUUCUUUGUGUUGAUUUUGGUUUCUCUAAAGAAC
rnacentral:lncRNA from 1 species